AACCCAGGGAACUGAAACAUCUAAGUACCUGGAGGAGAAGAAAACAAUUAGUGAUUCCGCAAGUAGUGGCGAGCGAACGUGGAAAAGCCCAAAUCAUAACAGUUUCGGCUGUUAUGAGGUUGUAGGGUUCCUGGACGUUUAAUAAUCAAGAACUGAAAUUUGGUUGGAAAGCCAAGCCGUAGAACGUGAAAGCCGUGUACAGGUAACUGAUUAUUAAGCAAGGAAUACCCUGAGUAGGCGGGGACCGGUGAAAUCCCCGUUGAAUCUGCCGGCACCAUCCGGUAAGGCUAAAUACUCCUGAGAGACCGA
rnacentral:rRNA from 18 species